rnacentral:rRNA from 1 species
AUUGAACGCUGGCGGCAGGCCUAACACCUGCAAGUCGAACGAGUGGCGGACGGGUGAGUAAUGUCUGGGAAACUGCCCGAUGGAGGGGGAUAACUACUGUAAACGGUAGCUAAUACCGCAUACCAUCGGAUGUGCCCAGAUGGGAUUAGCUAGUAGGUGGGGUAAUGGCUCACCUAGGCGACGAUCCCUCGCUGGUCUGAGAGGAUGACCAGCCACACGGGAACUGAGACACGGUCCAGACGCCUACGGGAGGCAGCAGUGGGGAAUAUUGCAGAAGGGGCGCAAGCCUGAUGCAGCCAUGCCGCGUGUAUGAAGAAGGCCUUCGGGUUGUAAAGUACUUUCAGCGGGGAGGCGUUACCCGCAGAAGAAGCACCGGCUAACUCCGUGCCAGCAGCCGCGGUAAUUC